ensembl:lncRNA
UACAUGUUACGUGUAUUAUUUCUGUGUGGACAUUACCACUCGGAUUCUACGAAUGCAUAAAUGUGAUGGUGCUAACGAGGGCGGAAAAUGUAAGCAAAAAUUAAGGAAAACAAAAACAAGGAAUAACAAUUCAAGUUUCUCUUUACUUUUUUGAUGAGGCAAAAUAACUACACCUCAAACAGUCUGCAGGUACAACUAUAGUACAGUCUGCAGGUCCAACUAUAGUACAGUCUGUAGGUCCAACUAUAGUACAGUCUGCAGGUCCAACUAUAGUACAGUCUGUAGGUCCAACUAUAGUACAGUCUGCAGGUCCAACUAUAGUACAGUC